GGCCACAUCAGUUGAAACAGCGGUUUCUGUACUAUCACCAAAGUUAAGCAAGGUCAAGCUUGGUUAGUACCUAUAUGGGUGACUGCUUGGGAAUACCAGGUGCUGUAAG